rnacentral:rRNA from 1 species
UACGUAGGAGGCGAGCGUUGUCCGGAGUUACUGGGCGUAAAGCGCACGUAGGCGGCUUUGUAAGUUAGAGGUGAAAGCCCGGGGCUCAACCCCGGAAUUGCCUUUAAGACUGCAUCGCUUGAAUCCGGGAGAGGUGAGUGGAAUUCCGAGUGUAGAGGUGAAAUUCGUAGAUAUUCGGAAGAACACCAGUGGCGAAGGCGGCUCACUGGACCGGUAUUGACGCUGAGGUGCGAAAGCGUGGGGAGCAAACAGG